rnacentral:rRNA from 1 species
UACGUAGGUGGCAAGCGUUGUCCGGAAUUAUUGGGCGUAAAGCGCGCGCAGGCGGCCGGGUAAGUCUGAUGUGAAAGCCCGGGGCUCAACCCCGGUGUGCAUUGGAAACUGUCCGGCUUGAGUGCAGGAGAGGAAAGCGGUAUUCCACGUGUAGCGGUGAAAUGCGUAGAGAUGUGGAGGAACACCAGUGGCGAAGGCGGCUUUCUGGCCUGUAACUGACGCUGAGGCGCGAAAGCGUGGGGAGCAAACAGG